ensembl:lncRNA
ACCCGGCCAAGCAGCCCUGCUCCCAAAUCUCCUGUACACCCAUACGGGUCCUCUCUCAUCCAAAAGAAGCCCCGAAGGGCUGGGGGGCAGACACGGCGGUUUGCCUCAAACCCCAGAGCGAAGCCGCGGCAGAGCCCCUCCACCCCGCCGCAGGAAUUAACCACCGGACCGCGUUUCCUCCCCGCUUCACCUUAAAACCUCACUCUCCGAUAUCCCAAGGCACCGGGGUUUGGGAACUGCCUUUCCAAGGGCUCGGGGAGUUCCAUGCAGCAUCGUCGGUGCCGCCGCUGCCGCCGCCUAGAAAACGGUGCCGAAUCUCCACCAGCCUCCCCGAGGGUGGGCGCACGCCGGUUUCAAGGCAGCGCUUGGCCGGCGGCCAGGUGCGGGGAGGGCAGCGCCGAAGGUGGGAGGCUGCUUCUCAUUUCCUUCGGGGUUUCGUUUCGCCUUCCCUUUCCUUCCCCCCUCUCCGGUCCUGGGAGGGAGGAAAGAGGCGCGCUCGCAACCAGGGGAAGGAAAACCCUCCCAAAAGCCGGCUUUCAGAGCCACAUCUGCUUCCAGCAGACCUUCCAACGCCGGAUCCCAUUUCGGGCGCUCAGCCCGUAGCCGAGGGUGAUGUGCCAACGCCGAAAAAUCCUUCCCCCCUCGGCCGUGCCCCAAAAACACAAAGCAAAGAAGAGGAGCAAGAGCUGGGAGGGCGUCAGCGGUGCAGGCGGAGCCGGGAGGCCACGCUGCUGCCGCGAGCCCUCCCAGCUGUUAGCAAUCACGCGCCGCAGGGGUCAGAGCCGGCACAGAUCCCAAAUUAUUUCUUGCUUCAAUGCCGGGCGUGUAUUUUGGACGGCGUUUUUCCAGCUUUCGCCGGGGGGAAAAAAACGUCAGCCCUUGUGCCUACCGGCGUUGCCGCCGCUGCCGGCGGAGCGAAGCCCAGGCUGGAGGUUUGGGAAAGUAGGCGCCUCGUUUGGCAAACGAGGAAGGCUUCGUUUAGCAAGCGGAGAAGGUCGGGGGGGCCACGGCAAAGUGGGGCGCGUGCCCCAGGGCUCACCCCGGCCGCUGUUUGUCUGGGGUUUGCCGGGAGAAAGGCAGCUCCUACCCCUCUGGUGCUGCGCAAACCAGGACCACCGGCACACAUCCCCUCCCCAGAGAAUGUGCAAUUACAGCACACCCCAUUUUUUCCCCUUUUUUUUUUUUCUGAAUAAAUGCUGGUAGGCUCCCUCAAAUCCAGCCUAACUCCUGAAACAGACCACCAUGCCACGGAUCAGCAACCCAGACCACCAACUCCACCUUAGAAGAGACCCUAAACGCUGCAAUAACUGAUACUAAGCCCCAGUUUUUCAUCUUGUCUCCCAGCCUGCGGUUUCCUAAACGCCCCUUCUCAUCCCAAAACAUUCUGAAGCCCUUUACAAACUGCACUCCAGCCCCCCGCACCCAUCGGCACACGUGAUUGGGAAACCAGAUACCCGCACGGAGCGGUUUGCAAAGUUAUUAAAAAAAAAAAAAAAAAAAAGCAACAAGGAUCUACUGACCCUGAGAUGGAGCCAAAAACCCACCCGCGACCUAACCCUCGCAGAAUAUAAUACGAAACAGGCGCCUUCCCGAAGAGCUUCCUCCUAAUCCCGCCUCGGUGCUCACCGCUUGGGAUCCACCCACAGACGUGUCACCGCAGGGCCACCACCGUAUCCCCGCCAGCAGCGUCGGGAAGGGCUCCCCAAUCCUCGCCCCACCAUUUGGGCACAAACUUGAG